rfam:Triticum aestivum genome assembly, contig: Triticum_aestivum_CS42_TGACv1_scaffold_031981_1BL
GUAAUACUCCCUUCGUCCGGAAAUAUUUGUCAUCAAAAUAAAUAGAAUAUAGAAUGAGACGUAUCUAGAUGUACUUUGGUUUUACAUACAUCUUUUUUUAUUCAUUUUAAUGACAAGUAUUUUCGGACGGAGGGAGUAUACU